rnacentral:rRNA from 1 species
UACGUAGGGUGCAAGCGUUGUCCGGAAUUAUUGGGCGUAAAGAGCUCGUAGGCGGUUCGGUAAGUCGGGUGUGAAAACUUUGGGCUUAACCCAAAGCGUGCAUCCGAUACUGCUGUGACUUGAGUUCGGUAGGGGAGUGGGGAAUUCCUAGUGUAGCGGUGAAAUGCGCAGAUAUUAGGAGGAACACCCGUAGCGAAGGCGGCACUCUGGGCCGAUACUGACACUGAGGAGCGAAAGCGUGGGGAGCGAACAGG